rfam:Nadsonia fulvescens var. elongata DSM 6958 unplaced genomic scaffold NADFTscaffold_5, whole genome shotgun sequence.
GGCUUAAUGGUCUAGAGGUAUGAUUCUCGCUUUGGGUUAAAAUGUUAAACGCUUGCGAGAGGUCCUGGGUUCGAUUCCCAGUUGAGCCC